GCCAGUUUAAGGUCAAGGGAAUUUAUAGCCAUGCAAGGAUGUAGGCAAUGUAUCCCAUCCAAGCAUAUACUAGGUAACUUUAUGCAGAACUAGCUGAUUUUAGCUGAUAGGCUUCAGUCAGAAGUGAUAGGUCAGCAUUCUCAUGUCUAUGGGUUUUAUGUUGCCAUCCUAAGAUAGGAUUUAAAGUGACAUUACAUUUAAUUCUACCUUUUCAUAUUCUUUU